GAUGAACGCUGGCGGCGUGCCUAAUACAUGCAAGUCGAGCGAACAGAUGAGGAGCUUGCUCCUCUCACGUUAGCCGCGGACGGGUGAGUAACACGUGGAUACCCUACCUAUAAGACUGGGAUAACUUCGGGAAACCGGCGCUAAUACCGGAUAAUAUAUUGAACCGCAUGGUUCAAUAGUGAAAGACGGUUUUGCUGUCACUUCUAGAUGGAUCCGCGCCGCAUUAGCUAGUUGGUAAGGUAACGGCUUACCACGGCAACGAUGCGUAGCCGACCUGAGAGGGUGAUCGGCCACACUGGAAGUGAGACACGGUCCAGACUCCUACGGGAGGCAGCAGUAGGGAAUCUUCCGCAAUGGGCGAAAGCCUGACGGAGCAACGCCGCGUGAGUGAUGAAGGUCUUCGGAUCGUAAAACUCUGUUAUUAGGGAAGAACAAAUGUGUAAGUAACUAUGCACGUCUUGACGGUACCUAAUCAGAAAGCCACGGCUAACUACGUG
rnacentral:rRNA from 1 species